GGGUCAGGGCCCAGGGUUAGGGUUUUAGGGUCAGGGCCUGGGCCCAGGGUUAGGUUUUUAGGGUCAGGGCCCAGGGUCUGGGUUUUAGGGUCAGGGCCCAGGGUUAGGGUUUUAGGGUCAGGACCCAGGGUUAGGGUUUUAGGGUCAUGGCCCAGGGUUAGGGUUUUAGGGUCAGGGCCCAGGGUUAGGGUGAUUUCCAGGAAGUGACCUCACAGUGACUCAAGCUACCACUUACUGUUUAUUGUGAUGAAAUGCCAGCUGAGGCACAUGCCUUGGGGGCUAAGUGGUUGCUGCCCUUGACUACUAUGAAGACUGGUGUGGGAAGGGUCGCUUUGGAUGCACUUGAGCAGGGUUCCCCAACCCCUGAGCCAUGGAGCCGUAAGGAGCCACACAGCAGGUGAGUGGUGUCGAGUGAGGGAGUGAGGGAAGCUUCGUCUGUAUUUACAGCCACUCCCCUUUGCUCACAUUCCCGCCUGAGCUCCACCUUCUCAGAUGAGCAGCAGCAUUAGAUUCUCAUAGGAGAACGCACCCUGUUGUGAACCGUGCAUGUGAGGGAUCUAGGUUGCGCUGUUCUUAUGAGAAUCUAAUACCUAUUGAUCUGUCACUUUCUCCCAUCACGCUCAGGUGGGACCAUCCAGUUUCAGGAAAACAAGCUUAACACGCCCACUGAUUCUACAUUAUGAUUCUUCAGGCCCAGCGUCUGCCUCACUGUGGACCCCCCAAGCCAAGCUCCCAACCUUUCAGCAGCUUCUACACACCCAGCUCCCGCCUGCCAGUGGCCUCUUCAGGCCCAUGGGGCUCAUUCCUCACAACAGCCUUUCCAGUCCCAGUUUUUCCCUUCCGGCGGCCUCUCCGGGCUGAGAACCUCCUCAAGUCGGCCUCUCCAGACCCACUUGCACCCUCCAGGCGUCCUCUCCGGGCCAAGCUCCUCUUCCUGGCUGUGUCUCCAGGCCCGACUCCUGCCUCUCAACAACGUCUUUGGACUCAGUGCCUACCCAUCUCCUGGCGUCCUUGGUCGGCCCACAGCUUCCUCAAGCCAAGCUCCCCAGGCCCAGGUCAGGCCUCACGGUGCCCCCUCCACGAUGAGCUCCUGCCCUCCAAUGGCACCUGCAGGCCCCAAAUGGUCUCCGGUCGGUGGGCUCCUCCACGCCAAGCUUGGGCCUCCCGGUGACCUCUGCAGGCCCAAGUUGUCCUGAAGUCAGCAUCUCCCAGCCGUGCCUCCCAGCAAGUAAGCAAGCUCUUUUGGCUCAACUCCUGCCCAGCUCCCAACCGCCUUUGUAGGUCCCGAACUUUCUCCAGCCAAGUUCUUUGGGCCUCAUUCCUGCCACCCGGUGGCCUGUACAGGCCCAGCAAUGGUUGGAGAACGGCCUCUGCAGGUCCCGCUCUUGCCUCCCAGGGGCCUCUCCAGGCCCAGCUCUCGCCCCCACGGCGGCCACCCGGGGCCAAGUCCCUGCCUGCCUCCCAGCAGCCCGCAUGCGGCCCAGCUCCUCCCUCACGGUGGCCUGUUGAUGCCCAUGCCUCUGGUACCCUGCCCAGAGGCAUGAGCCCCUGCCACACACUGGCUCCUCCCACGCUGAGAGAGGUCAGCGUGAGCCCUUGCCUCACACCGGCCCCUCCCACGCUGAGAGAGGUCAGCGUGAGCCCCUUGCCUCACAUCGGCCCCUCCCACGCUGAGAGAGGUCGGCGUGAGCCCUUGACUCACACCGGCCCCUCCCACGGUGAGAGAGGUCAGCGUCACCCCCUUACCUCACACCGGCCCCUCCCACGCUGAGAGAGGUCGGCGUGAGCCCUUGCCUCACACCGGCCCCUCCCAUGGUGAGAGAGGUCAGCGUCAGCCUCUUGCCUCACACCGGCCCCUCCCACGCUGAGAGAGGUCGGCGUGAGCCCCUUGCCUCACACCCGCCCCUCCCACGCUGAGAGAGGUCGGCGUCAGCCCCUUGCCUCACACCGGCCCCUCCCACGCUGAGAGAGGUCAGUGUGAGCCCUUGCCUCACACCGGCCCCUCCCACGCUGAGAGAGGUCGGCGUCCGCCCCUUGCCUCACACCGGCCCCUCCCACGCUGAGAGAGGUCAGUGUGAGCCCUUGCCUCACACCGGCCCCUCCCACGGUGAGAGAGGUCGGCGUCAGCCCCUUGCCUCACACCGGCCCCUCCCACGCUGAGAGAGGUCGGCGUGAGCCCUUGCCUCACACCGGCCCCUCCCACGCUGAGAGAGGUCAGCGUGACCCCCUGCCUCAACAGGCCACCGUGAGGGAGGAGCAGGGUCGCACGCGGGCUGCUGUGAGGCAGGCAGCGACUUGGGCCUGGGAGGUCGUGGUGGGGUGAGAGCUGGGCUUGGAGACUCCCCUGGGAGGCAACAGCGGGGCCUACAGACUCUGUUCUCCAGCCGGAGCUGGGACUGUUCAGGUACUGGGAGGUGGGAUGUGGGUCUGAAGAGCUUGGUUGCAGAAACUUCGGGGUCUACAAACGCAGGCGGGAGCUGAGCCAAAAAAGCUUGUUUGCUGGGAGGCGGGAGAUGCAGCCAGGAGAAACAGCUCUGCCUGCAGAGGCCGCCAUGCGGGAGGCGGAGGCCGGGCCUCCUCAAAUCGGCCUCUCCAGACCCACUUGCAGCCUCCCGGCAUCCUCUCCGGGCCCAGCUCUUCCUCCCGGCUGCGUCUCCAGGCCUGACUCUGGCCUCCCAACAACGUCUUUGGACUCAGCUCCUGCCCAGCUCCCAGCAGGCCCAAGUCGUCGUCAAGUCGGCCUGGAAUUGGGCCCGGAAGAGCAGCAAGUCGGCCUCCCCGGGCCCAGCUCCGUCCUCUCGGCGGCCUCUCCAGGUGCAAAACUUCCUCGAGUCAGCCUCUCCAGGCCCCGCUCCUCCUGCCUCCCAGUGGCCUCUUUCAGCCCAGACCAGCUCAUGGCUCUUGGCGGCCUUCCCAGGCCCCGCUUUUGACUUUUGGUGGCCUCUUCAGGCCCAGAACUUGACCUCCAGUGGGCCUUUGCAGGCCCGGCCUCCUGCCUCUCGAAGGCCUGCACGGGCCCGGACUCACAGCGGACUCACAGCGGACUCUCCAUGCCCAGCUAGCUCUCGCCUCAUUGCGGCCUCCCGAGUCCAAAGCUCCUGCCUCUCGGCCGCUUCGGCAGGCCCAGCUCCCGCCUGCCAGUGGCCUCUUUAGGCCCAGCUCAUUCCUCACAACGGCCUUCCCAGGCCCCGUUUUUCCCUUCCGGCAGCCUCUUGGCCUCUAAUUUGUUUAUCUUUUGUGUAUAAAUCCCAAAAUAUUGAAGUUUGGAAUAUUUCCACCAUUAUGUAAAUAUUUUGGUAGGUGAUUUAUUUGGGGUGAGUUUCUGCACCAAGCCCGAAUUUUUUAUUUUAUUUUCCUUAUUAUUUGGUGUUAAACAGGUUUAAUGACGGUCAUGGCAACUGUUUGGCACAAUGAAAAAUAUCGCCCAUGA